GCAAGUCGAGCGAACAGAAGAAGGAGCUUGCUCCUUUGACGUUAGCGGCGGACGGGUGAGUAACACGUGGGCAACCUACCUUAUAGUUUGGGAUAACUCCGGGAAACCGGGGCUAAUACCGAAUAAUCUAUUUUACUUCAUGGUGAAAUACUGAAAGACGGUUUCGGCUGUCGCUAUAAGAUGGGCCCGCGGCGCAUUAGCUAGUUGGUGAGGUAACGGCUCACCAAGGCGACGAUGCGUAGCCGACCUGAGAGGGUGAUCGGCCACACUGGGACUGAGACACGGCCCAGACUCCUACGGGAGGCAGCAGUAGGGAAUCUUCCACAAUGGGCGAAAGCCUGAUGGAGCAACGCCGCGUGAGUGAAGAAGGUUUUCGGAUCGUAAAACUCUGUUGUAAGGGAAGAACAAGUACAGUAGUAACUGGCUGUACCUUGACGGUACCUUAUUAGAAAGCCACGGCUAACUACGUGCCAGCAGCCGCGGUAAUACGUAGGUGGCAAGCGUUGUCCGGAAUUAUUGGGCGUAAAGCGCGCGCAGGCGGUCCUUUAAGUCUGAUGUGAAAGCCCACGGCUCAACCGUGGAGGGUCAUUGGAAACUGGGGGACUUGAGUGCAGAAGAGGAAAGUGGAAUUCCAAGUGUAGCGGUGAAAUGCGUAGAGAUUUGGAGGAAACACCAGGUGGCGAAGGCGACUUUCUGGUCUGUAA
rnacentral:rRNA from 1 species